AAUGAACGUUGGCGGCGUGGAUUAGGCAUGCAAGUCGCGCGAUAACUGUAGCAAUACAGGGAAAGCGGCGUAAGGGACAGUAAUACCUAGAAACGUACCCCCGGGUCUGGGAUAGCGGCGGGGAACUGCCGGUAAUACCAGAUAACGUCUCCGGACCAAAGGUGUGAUUCCACCUGGGGAGCGGUCUAGGCCCUAUUAGCUUGUUGGUGGGGUAACGGCCUACCAAGGCAAAGAUGGGUAGCAGGUGUGAGAGCACGACCUGCGUCACUGGGACUGAGACACUGCCCAGACACCUACGGGUGGCUGCAGUCGAGAAUCUUCGGCAAUGGGCGCAAGCCUGACCGAGCGACGCCGCGUGCGGGAUGAAGGCCUUCGGGUUGUAAACCGCUGUCGAAGGGGAUGAAAUUCCGGUGGGUUCUCUUGCCGGAUUGACAGAUCCUUGGAGGAAGGACGGGCUAAGUUCGUGCCAGCAGCCGCCGUAA
rnacentral:rRNA from 1 species